UAGGGAAUCUUCGGCAAUGGACGAAAGUCUGACCGAGCAACGCCGCGUGAGUGAAGAAGGUUUUCGGAUCGUAAAACUCUGUUGUUAGAGAAGAACAAGGACGUUAGUAACUGAACGUCCCCUGACGGUAUCUAACCAGAAAGCCACGGCUAACUACGUGCCAGCAGCCGCGGUAAUACGUAGGUGGCAAGCGUUGUCCGGAUUUAUUGGGUGUAAAGCGAGCGCAGGCGGUUUCUUAAGUCUGAUGUGAAAGCCCCCGGCUCAACCGGGGAGGGUCAUUGGAAACUGGGAGAAUUGAGUGCAGAAGAGGGGAGUGGAAUUCCAUGUGUAGCGGUGAAAUGCGUAGAUAUAUGGAGGAACACCAGUGGCGAAGGCGGCUCUCUGGUCUGUAACUGACGCUGAGGCUCGAAAGCGUGGGGAGCAAACAGG
rnacentral:rRNA from 1 species